ACUUGGAUAGUUUAUUUAAAAUAUUAAUUUGUGGAGUUAAAGAUAAAUAUUUGUUUUCUAAGUA
rnacentral:tRNA from 1 species